CCGAAAGAAAACUGAAAAUGGGUAUCCAUGUUUAGCUGAUUUUUAAGAAUAAACAUUAAAUAGUGAUAAAGACCCUACAUCAAAAACAGACAUUGUCUGAAGCAUGGACAAAGGACAGUAUGGAGGUGCUGUCAUCUCUGCCAAGGCAUAACCGAAACAACCUGACUGAUGCAAAGCAACAGGUAAUAUUCAAAAGAGGGAAGUGGAUUAUAUGAACAGUUUUAGUAUACACUCACAGUACAGUAUAUUGUACCAUUGUUAAUAGACGGAAUGCCACCAACCAGAUGAUCCAUAGUUAGUAUUUUCAACAUGUUGACCUACUAAAUCAAUGCCCACUUGGUUUUGACUAAACAGACGAAUGGUGCAUGGUGUAGUAUGAAAAAAAUGUACUCUGAGAAAAUGAUUCCACAGGAGGAGCUAAUCCAUUAAUCCAAUUAUAAUAUCUAUAAUAAACAUUUUGGCCCUUGAAAUGAAUGAAUCCGUUAUGAUGAUAAGCAAGAGCCAGAUUUAAUCUAAUGAGGCCAGCUGAGUGAGGAUUUACAUGAUACUUUUCUUUAGUCAUUCUUAAUGGGUUCCCUAUAGACCCCAUACAUA